rnacentral:lncRNA from 1 species
UGUUAUUAGGGUCUACACUGAAAGAAGUGAUAACUAUGCUGAGUAGUUUUUUUGUAUUUUUUUGUUUUUUGGUUUGUUUGUUGUUUUUUUUUUUUGAGACGGAGUCUCGCUCUGUUGCCCAGGCUGGAGUGCAGUGGUGCGAUCUUGGCUCACUCCAAGUUCCACCUUCCAGGUUCACGCCAUUCUCCUGCCUCAUAUGCUGAGUAGUUUUAAUAAAGAAAAGCAUCCAGACAUCCCCACAAACAAGACUUUGUGACUGGAGCCUCAGUAAGGGGUCACUGAACUCCAGAACCACACUCACUCAACAAGACAAAGUACCUUCCUCAACACCAGGCUGCUGAACCCUCCCAUAGCUCACACACAGCUGCCCAUUGUCAAAAACAAAAGCAAUGAGUGAGAUGGAAUUCUCUUUUCAAUAUCUGCUCCUACCCUCAAAGUAGACGCUGCCUUUGGGUGGGCCAGUCCAGUAGCAUAACCAAGGAAUGUAAAUCCUCAGCAUGUAAAGGCGGGGUGGAAAGAAGCCACAGACACGCAUGUGGGAGACUCGCGCACCCACACCAAAGCUGACUUCGAUGCUUAAAGGUCGAAGCACCGGACCCCUCUUCUUUUAUCUCUGUGGUAGAGACAAACACAACUUACAUCUCAUUUCCUCAUGAUCUACAGUGAAAGAAAGUGAGUGGAAUACAGGUUAUAGGCAUUUACAAGAUUCCAGUCCAUUGAGACCUUGCACAUGGGAACACAACAGCAUCUCUUCAAAUGCAAUUUUGAAGAUGUUCACACAGGCAUCAUGGGGAGAAGACUGGAAGGAAUGCUCUGCACCCUGGGGUUGUGUGCUGAGUGCGACUCUGGGGAAGAAAAUGACUCCACAGCUUAAAUAAAAAUGUUGAAGGCCACUGUGAGCUACAUCUCAAAUGGCCCCCGAGGGAUCUUUUCCAUGGCCUUAGCUCACUUGCAGAAGACAUCUGCAUGGCCCAGCAAGCUCCGCGGAUGCAGAGGCAGAGUGUGAUCAAAGCCCAGCUCAGCUCUCCUCUGGUCGCCGAAUACCUGUCUGGGGCACAUUGGAGAGGAGCAGGGGACCUGGUUCCUGGUGAGGCCGACAAAAAGCAGCAAUAGAAAAGUCUCAGCAUCAUGGUGGCAUUUUCUUACCUCCCAAUUAACCUUCACAUUGACUGUGCCCAUCAAGACAGCGACUGCCAUUUUCUGUGCCUCCAGGACUGGGGUCAUCAUCAGGGCUGUGCAUACAGGACAAAAAGCUCUCAUUUUUCCAUCUGGCAUUCCUCAUCUCUGGAUCGGCAUGGGCAGCAGUAAAUUCCAGGAGAGACCUUAGCCAACCAUCCCCUUUGUUUCCUGAAAGAAGAGAGGUUUAUGUUCUCCUGGAAGGCUGACCAGCAGUAACUUAGGGAAGCCACAGGCCAGCAGCACACUGAAAUGCAGAUGUGAUUAGAUAAACGAGGGAGCAAAGGCAUGUUGUGUCAUUAUAGCUUUACAUAAACUCUCCUUUUCCAAUAAGCUCGCCAAGUGUUCUCUGUUGGUAUCAAUCAAACAGCUCCUAAAAACUUACAAUUUCCUAAAACUCUACCAAAUUGGCCUUUCAGCAGUCACUGCACUGGCCCCAGGCCACCCACACUGCUGCGUGCUAGCAAGCCGCCCUCCACCUUCUACUUUACACCUCCGUUUAUUCAACCAAAAAUGUUUCUUCAUCAUCUACAUGGCAGUUGGUACGAUACUAAGAGACAUGGAAGAUUAAAAAGUAAAAAAAUCAAAUGCAAAUCAUGACCUCAAGAACAUAUAAUUUAGUGUAAAGAUAAAAUAGCAUUUACUGUUAUAUAAAGAGGAAACUUAUUUGUACAGCAAGUAAAAUUCAGCAGCAUUUUACAUCCGUGUUUUUCUGUGGAAUUUUGCAGUCUCAUUCUAGUAAUUAUAUUCUUGUUGUAUCUUUUAUUUAUUUGCCCAUUUUUACUGUCACUGUAAUUUUCUCUCUAGGACACCACCAACAAAUAAGAAUAUGGAAAUAAAAACUGAAAUGGGCCUUUGAGGUCAUCCAGUUCCGCGAAGUCAUUUCACAAAUGAGAAAAUCAAGGCCUAUAGAAAUUAAAAGAUAUGUCCAAAGUCAUAGGCUCAAUUCGUAGAAGUAUUAGCUCUAGGCCUCCCCACUGCCCGACUUAAUAUUUCAUUGCCAAUAUAACUUUUGA